AGAUUCUCAGUGAUGGGACGUUUUAUUCUGUGCCUAACUUAUUCUACCAGCUCUUCACGAUCCAUAUCAUGUAUAACGGAAAGUCGUUCCCGAUUGCGUACGUGCUGAUGACGGAGAAAACGUUAGCGCUGUAUGAUUCCGUUAUGCGGAGAAUUUUAAGGUGGUUGAGGCGGAAUGUCCCGGUAAUGGAUUUGCAGUUGAAUUGAUGAUUUCCGAUUACGAAGAGGCCAUUCUUGUAUCCAUGCAACAUGCAUUUCCAACUGGAAGAAGUCGCGGAUGCUGGUUCCACUAUUCACAGGCCAUCUACCGAAGAGCCUGCCAAGAAGGACUUUCGGCUGCAUAUCUUGCUGGGGGGGUCGUCCGUCGCAUAAUUAAGAUGCUGAUUGCCUUAGCUUUGUUGCCUCAAGAAAGAAUCUUCGAAGGGUUUCAAUGUAUUAGAAACACAACGGCAGAUGAUCUUGAACGAGAAACACAGGAGGUCCGUGGUGCUAUCGCUCAGUUGUUUACAUACUGCUCUGAACGAGCCUUGGGAUGCGAUCCAAUAACCACCGUAGAUCCAAUGUUGCAUAAGCGUAUGCGAUGAUGACGAUCGAACAAAAAACCGCGUAGAAUCAUGGAAUAGGUGGUUCAACGCUCGCUGCAAAAUUGCCCAUGGAAACUUUUGGGAUUUCAUAAAAAAAAUUGAGGCUGCUUCAGCCAGAGAUUUUGCUGCUCUUCGUUCUAACCAAGAAAUAGGCCGACAUCGUACGAGGCGACAGAUUGGACAAGAUACUCAGAUCUCGCACAAUACAAGAUUGCUGAGGAAUGGCGAAAUAAAUCUUCAGCG